GAUCGGUGUAGAUCUCGGAAGAUCUGCCGACGCCGAUAGUUGACGGUCGGCUACUGGCAAAGCUGGCAUCGGAGUCACGGGAGGUGUUAGCGACAGAGGUGGAGAACGGGAAUUGGCGGCGGUCCGGAGUCGGUUGUGGAUGGAAGGAUUCCGCCGGACGGCGGCGAGUCUUGCCCCUCAUAUCUCCGGUACGGAAUCGGUAUCUGGCUGUAGAGUGGUGGUUUUGAGUGUUUUGGGAAUCUCCUUUUCCCGCUUGGAGAAAUGGAAAUUAG
rnacentral:misc_RNA from 1 species